rnacentral:miRNA from 14 species
GGGUAAUCAGCCAUCCUGGUUUGCCUGGGACUGAGGGGGUUUCCAGGUCUUUCAGGGCUAACACUG